rnacentral:rRNA from 1 species
ACGCUGAAGGAUGGGCCUACGUUAGAUUAGCUAGAUGGUGGGGUAAAGGCUUACCAUGGCGACGAUCUAUAGCUGUUCUGAGAGGAAGAUCAGCCACACUGGGACUGAGAUACGGCCCAGACUCCUACGGGAGGCAGCAGUGGGGAAUAUUGGACAAUGGGGGAAACCCUGAUCCAGCGAUGCCACGUGUGUGAAGAAGGCCUUAGGGUUGUAAAGCACUUUUGUUGGGGAGGAAGGCUCUGUAGAGGAAUAUGCUACGGGGUUGACGUUAACCAAAGAAAAAAGCACCGGCUAACUCUGUGCCAGCAGCCGCGGUAAUACAGAGGGUGCAAGCGUUAAUCGGAAUUACUGGGCGUAAAGCGCUCGUAGGUGGAAUAGCAAGUCCGUCGUAAAAUAUCCGGGCUCAACCUGGGGAUGUCGAUGGAAACUAUUAUUCUAGAGUAUUGGAGAGGGUAGAGGAAUUUCUGGUGUAGCGGUGAAAUGCGUAGAUAUCAGAAGGAACAUCAGCGGCG